rnacentral:rRNA from 1 species
AUUGAACGCUGGCGGCAGGCCUAACACAUGCAAGUCGAGCGCGUGGCGGACGGGUGAGUAAUGUCUGGGACACUGCCUGAUGGAGGGGGAUAAAUACUGGACGCGGUCUCUAAUACCACAUUCCAUCGGAUGCGCCCAGAUGGGAUUCGCUAAUAGGUGGGGUAAAGGCUCACCUAGGCGACGAUCCCUAGCUGGUCUGAGAGGAUGACCAGCCACACUGGAACUGAGACACGGCCCAGACUCCUACGGGAGGCAGCAGUGGGGAAUAUUGCACAAUGGGCGCAAGCCUGAUGCAGCCAUGCCGCGUGUAUGAAGAAGGCCUUCGGGUUGUAAAGUACUUUCAGCGGGGAGGCGUUACCCGCAGAAGAAGCACCGGCUAACUCCGUGCCAGCAGCCGCGGUAAUAC